AUACUAUUACGCUCUUAAUGUUGCGGCUUCGUUAUCUCACAUCAAGAAUUAACGAAUUAUACAUCCGAAAAUCUUCUUCAGUCUGCAAUGAAUUCAGAGAAGUCCUAAAUUCAGCAUUAAUCGAAGAAAAAGAAAAAGUACUCCAAUUCCGCAAAGAAUACAACUCCCGAGAAGUCGGAAAGGUCACCGUAGAUCAGGUC